CAGAUGGCUCCUGAUAACUGGCCAUCUCUUUUCCGAGUGGCCAGAAGUGUUAUUUCGGGAGCACGACACAGAGCAGACCAUCUGUCAAGGUUCUGGGGGAAGCUUCAGUUGGUCAUACGUGGCAAAGGCAGCCAAUGAGGCAGAACUCGAGCACGGCCGUGGACGUGCCAGAGGUCGCCGAACCCCCCCGUGCUGACCGCAAGGGAAGGGCUCCGAGCUCCAGGGAUCACGGACACUCUGAGGGAAGGGGCUGAGGGCUGCUGGGGUGUCUGCUGGGCCUCUGCCAGGCCUCCGUUGUCCCCGUAUCUUGGAAACUGGGAAACGUGUUGCUUUGCUGUCUAUUUUUGGUACCAGAGGACUGUGGCCUUUCCCGAACAAGCGUGUCUCUCGUGUUAACAGUGUGCGAGCAGACGUGCCCUGGGAAGGCUGGUUCAAGGCUAACGGGGCAAGAAUUACAACACACAGUGAGUAACUGUAAUUUCCCAGAGGAAAAGCGAAGCCUGCAGAUCUUCUCAAACCUUUAUCCCAAGCGUGAAGUUUUGUUUUCAAUGCUUGAAAGGCCAGAGUUGUCUUCGUAAACAGAGACUGGGCCUCAGCAGGCCAGAGCAGGGGGACGUCUGAUCUCGGCCAUCACUGGCCAGGCCCUGACGGGCUCUGGCAUUCACCUGCUCUCGUCUCCAACACGUCCCUCGCCCCGGAAAGUUCAGCGUGUGCUUCAUAUGUCUUGCAAAGCAACAGCGAUGGACACUGCUUCCCCUUGUGGGCCUGUGUGGGGUGCCACGGCUCCCGGAGACUAUAACCAACUAGAUAGAUCUUCGACGGCGGUCUCUCGUUCCCGUACCUAAAUGCUAACAAAACCUGUUAAACCAUGGUCAUCUGCGACUACUUCUGAGAUGUUCCAGCCUCUUCUUGUACUUGCCUUGCCCCAGCUCCAGAAUUGACCGUUUCUCCCAGGAGUCCUGUAUCUUUUGAGAGGAUGAUUGUAUUGAGAAGUCAAGCCCCAGGCACUGGAUGUGUUCAUUUCCAUGGGGGAGUUGCUGCUCCUGGCCUUCUUGGGGAGCAGAAGGAGGAAGCAUCGGUCUCUCUCCUUGGACAAAAGAUGGUCGCCUUCUCCUGUGUCCUCCCACGGACUUCCCUCUGUGCAUGUCUGUGUCCUGAUCUCCUCUUCUUGAAAAGACACAUCAGAUGAGGGCCCACACAUCUGCCUUCGUUUUCACUUAAAUACGUCUUUGAAGACCCUAUCUCCAAAUAUGGUCACACU